GGCAACCAAUUAAGUAAAUCAACGGCCUGUGGCUUUGCGGAGACUUUCUAUCUUCCCAACAACAGUCUACUCUGCUUUCCCAUAUUCAAAACGAGGGAUGUUCACCAAGUCCACAAACAAUCAGGUAUAGCAGUAGUCAGUAAACAAACGUCAAUCCAGCUACUCGAAGCACAGCAAGUUCCUUUUUCUUGUUCCUGUUCAGUCAUGUUUCAUGGAGACAAUCAGAGUAACUUCGCUUCAGUUUUCACCUACUGUGACUAUAUUUAACGGAACUGACAAGGGUUAUUAUCGGUAUCAGAAGAAAGUACUCAAGAAGUUGAAAGAGGAAAUGGAAAAUGAUGGCGGGCAGAACGGAUACAAUGUUCCUACGCAAGAUCUCAAAUCCGACUAGCUGCUGAACUGGGGAACUGUUGUUAAAUCCAAUGUGCUUAGGGGUACAUCUCUCGGAAAUUUUCAAUUUGAAGCUGACAUCAAUAUGUUAUUAGCCUGGUUAAUUUAUAAAUCUUAGUAUGGGAGGUUAACUGUGAUUUGUGUAGCAUUAGCGUACGUAGAUUUUUCUGUAUUAAGUGUUGGGGGGUUUUGUUGAAUUAAUUUUAAUAUAAAAAUAUU